rnacentral:pre_miRNA from 1 species
GCAUCAUCUGAAAUCUGGGCUUGGGUGGGAGGAGGAAUGGAUGCUGGCCUUUCAAUUCUGGAUUUGACUCCAGCCCCACAGCCUCAGCCACCCCAGCCAAUUACUAUGGGAAC